CUGCACCUCUUGAAUACAUGCACACCCAAACACAAGAGUGGGCUGCACACUCUUCACAGACACCAACCUGAAUUACACAGCCGCUCGGCCAAGGAGCUGAGUCAGAUUUCCGCAGUCUGUUUAAUAUACAACAUCUAAAGUGCUUCCAACAGGUCUCUUUUUGUGCUAAUCGAUAAGUGUUUCCAUGGAUGGAAAAACAAAUAGCCAAUCACAGCCUUUGUGGGUGGAAGGACAACAUUUUCAUGUCCCAGAGCCAGAGAAAUACGAGUAUGUGCAGCUUUCUGAAUUUCAGCUUACAAAACAUGACAAAAAGCAAACUAAAACCAUGAGCACUGUCAGAGUAAUGAAUAAAUAAUGAACAAUGAAAAGGAAUUGGAAUUGAAAUGGAUCACCGGUGCGGCAAACAGCAGAGAAAGGUAAAAGCCGGUGGCAGACAAUUAAAAUUAUUUAUUACCUGAAUCUAAUCUAAUCAUUGUCGCCACAUAAUGUAGAUUGCAAAUAAUUAGACUAACUGCCUACAAAUAUUUAUGCCAUGAACCCACAGUACAAUUCCCAGUCUUUAAGGAGACAGAAUGAGUCAGCAAAAGAAAUACUUUUUUAUACUGCAACUUCUUCUUCGAUGUUGCUUCUAAACCGCGUCUCAUUUUGCUGUAUGUUACUGUGAUUACAGCUGUUUUGUGUGGACUAGGACUUGGAAACCAAGACAAAGCUCGAUGUUGGUGGAAAUCUUGGCUGCCAAUAAUACAGAAAAUACUGUGCCUUUUGUAACUUUUAAUUAGGCUGAUAAUCAACAGUUUACUUCCAAAGACACACAUUCUUUUAUUUUUAUCUUUAAUUUAAUUUGUCACCUCAGAUUGUGCAAAGAUGGAGCUGUUAUUUAAUUCUAAAAAAUUCUACUGCGUGGUGCAUGUCAGAAAAAAAAUUGAGAUUCUGCUAAAUUUCUAGUUUUGUUUCUUUCUUACUUUUUUCUUUAAAAAAAACUCAACUAGUUAAUUAGUCACUAUGAACAUCCCCAACUCAAACUGAAAACGUUCCCUCACUCACGUCUGCAGCAAAGCAAAUUAUUAAUGGUUAACAAACAGAUUAUUGACAGUCUAAGUGUUAGUUUAACUUUGAGUUUUUGUGCAUUAUGCAUAGUGAGGGAUGAUGUAGGAAAAAUAAAAUCCCAGUCACUGGAGGAGCGAUCAUGGCCUCGAACUAGUAGUCUUCUAUUCACAUACUGCCCAUGGAAACCUCUAACUACCAGGCUGCCGGAAGUUCAUCACAUAAAAGAGUUUAGUGAAAUAUAUCCUGAAUUUGUUAGCAGCUAACAGCUCUGACACCAGACUUUAAAUGAACCUUUUAUCACCAAUCAUUAUGUUUUUAUUACUAAAGCAUUUGAAAAUAAAAGCAUGCACAGCAGGUAGCGGCAUUUUAAUUUUAGCUGCUGUGACCCUCGCUGAGGUUGUUGAUUAACAUGACAAACAUCAAAAGCAGCAGCUUCAACAAGCAGCAGAUAAUUAAUGUUGAUUCCAUAACAGCUAAAAUUACAGUUUUGGUUGUUGUCCAGUGAAAACUGUCUCUACAGCCAAACAGAAACAUGACUCUGACACUGAGCGCUGUUUCGUAUCAGAUAAAUAUCAGGAGAACCACCCAGUUUAACUUCUAAGGGUAUAAUAUAAAUUUCUUAUCAGCUUCACAGUGUGAAUCAGGACCUCCAUUAUUUGAAUCUGAUUCAUAUUUAAUCAACACUUCAUAUCUUCUCCUGCUCAUCUAAUUUUCUGGUUCAGGCUACAGGCUGUCGAUGUUUAUUACGGCACUAAUAUAAACUGUAACGCACAAACAAAGGUGAUUACCGAUCCGAAUUCAAUAUUUGACUCAUAACUUUAGUUACUUUAAAGUGAUGAAAGCUGAACAUAAUUACAUUAGAUGAGCAGAUUUGAUAAAAUAGCAAUACUCAUCACAUCUCAGGAACUCUGCCAACUACUGAGACUGACUCUUUGGUUGAGUUCAUUUCAAGAGUGUUGACAAAAAUGCUGCUUCUGAAUGUUCCUCCUGCUGCUCAAACCUUCCUGUCUAUCAUAAAUGCACAAACACCCACAUCCCCACCCACUAAACACCUGCCAAGCAGCACACACACUCACACAUCCACACACAGGCGUUAUGUAAGUGUGUGUCAGGAGGACACUCUCAGAUGGUCCAGUUACAAUCAUCAAUCCUGCUGACGCCUCCAUGUCAUCUGUGUGGAUAUUUCCAUAAAGCAGGUGGACAGUGAACCCACUGCAGUGAGGUGGAGGCAGACUCCCAUCCAAUAUUAGACUCACACAUGGCCAAAAUAUGGUCUGUGGACCAGAUGCCGGCCCCCGACAUCCUGAAGGGAGAAUUUAACACGUCCCCGAAAAUAAAAUUUUUUUUUAAAAAGGGAGCAUGCGAAAGCAGGUACACCCAAGCCUUCAAAACGCAUUAAUAAAUACUAUACUAUACUUUGUGAUAAUAAAUAACAGGUAUCAGCCGUCUUUUUGCAACGUUUCAUCUGGCAGGCAAACUCCAAUGCCUUGAACUCCAGUUUGCAGCUUUAAUUCUUGCCCUCAGUGACCUUUUUAUAGCCAACCAGUUCUCCGCAUGCUGCAGGUUCAGGUUAGAAUGACCGUCGUUAGUUGGUCACAGUCGAUAUCCAAGAAAAAACAAGGACUGCAGUCCAAGAUAUUGGGAGCUAGAGUCUGUUGAACCAUGGGAUGAGAGUCUUGGUACCACCACAGCUGUGACCUGAUAACUCUACAGGUAAACACAAGAUGGGAGCUAGCUAGCUAGUGAAUGAACAUUCAAUAUAACAGAAGGGAUUGUCCAAUAGUAAACUGAUCACGGAUGUUAAAAUAAAAAUAAAUUGAAAAGAUAUAUUUGGGUGACAAGUAAUAUAGCAUGUGGAAAACAUUGUAUCCCCCCCCAAAAAAGGGUUAUUAAAUAGUAAAUAUUAGCUGAGCACAGUGGUGCCUGUUGUGGUACUGCAACAUAUUGAAAAUCUGAGUUACCUACAAAAUUAAAAACAGAGGCUAAAAAAGAACAGGGAAUUAUUUUAAUUAAUUCAUCAUUAUGAAUAAAAUUAUCCUUAAAUACAUUAAGCAUUGAUAUGAAUUGUAGACACUGAAAAAUCAAAAGUUUCUCACUGAAAAUUCUUGAUUUUUUUUUUUCAGGCGUACAUUAAAGGAAUCUGUUAUGUCUGCAAAAACGUGGGGAUUUUAACAUAUUUCAGGACUGUAUGUAUUCAUGUGUCUAUUUAGUCAUUUAAUGUGUGGUGCUUCAUUUAUUAUAUCCAAUUCAGUCUGGCCCUCAGAGGAAAUAUGCUGCAUACUCUUGCUCCAUCUGGACAACUGUGAGUCCAUUAUUGUGUCUUCUGUCAUGUUCGCUGAUCAGAGGAACAAAGGUCGACUGUGCUGAAUCCUCCUUCAUGCUUUGAAGAGUGUUUGUAGUCAGUUUAAUCCGUCGUCUCUACCACUGGACUAGUUUCACCAGUCUAACGCUAAGAAGCCUUAAGCUUCAGUACUGUUGCUAUGGUUACCUGCACUUGAACAUACAAAGAACAGGUCUCAUAUUUCCAUGUGUUGCACAUGCUGCUGGCGCAAGUGAGUUGGAUUGAAACAAAGACAAAAUUAUCACCAAUGUGAGGCUCAUGGUAGAUUGUGCAUAACGUACAUUUUCAUUUUAUUUAGCCUACUUUUUGGGUUUUUUCGCCAUUAAAUUACUUGCAGUGGAUCUCAACUUUGUAUUUCAGAGUAAGAAACCAUAUGUUUUCUAGACCAUUUGAUAUUAUUUUUUAGAAGAAAGUAAAAAAAAAAAAAAUAUGUUCAAGCAACCUGCAGACCUUCUUGAAAUUAGCUUGUCCAGUAAAUCUUGGAGCGGAUCAGAAAACAUUUAAAUUAUUAUUUUUUUUUUAAAAAGCAUGUAGCUCACUGUUUACUGCACUUUUCAAAGCCUCAAUGUUUGUUUUGGGCAGCACUAUUUUGUUUUUGGAGCCAAAAGUGACCAUAUUUGGAAAAAGAGGUUUGAGUGCAAAAAUUAUCAGCUAAAAAUAGAAGGCGUGAUUUACAAGCUGCAUCCAUAAACCAUAUGGAUACAAUGUGCAGACACAUACUUUUUAAUUAGUGCUAAAUAGCAGACUGAUAAAAUAUUGCAAUUAACAUAGAGCACUAACUUCUUGGAUCAUCAGAGGUUUUCAUUAAAAUUACUCAAAAGCCACCUACACCAUAAACAUGGUGUUGAAAUUCAGUUUAAUGAAUUAAUCAACAAGUUCUUUUCAAAGUUGGGAAUUUUAAACACAGGAGUCUAUGGGGAUUGAAUCACUUCUGGAACCAGCCUCAAGUGUCCGUGAGAUGAAAUGCACUUUUUGGUACAUUUGAGUGUAUCUUGUUAUUUGAUUCAAUUUCAAAUAAAAAUGUGAGCUAAUGCAAAUAUUACACAAACCCCUACCAUGAGCAUGCAGUCAACCACAAAGACUCCGUUUGUGAGACACACUAGAAACGGAAAAAGAACAUUUGAGCCCUUUUCAAGGGCUUCAGCUUUCAUGUUAUUCAUAAUUUUAGUUUGUUAACCUCCAAUUCGUGGCGUAGUUUGUAAUUUAUCUGCAGCUCAUGGGUACUGCUGCCUGUAAUGGAUUGAAGGAAGAGUGAGGAUUUCCUGCUUAAAUAUUUUACAAUUGAAUAAAAUGGAUAGCAUGCAGUCAUAGUUCAGCAGUUCUUUAUUACAGUGGGAUGACCUCUUUUUUUACCAGCAGGGAUAUGAAAAAAUGAUAAAGGCCAAUGGCUCUAUUAUAACCACAAUCACUGAGGCUCCGCAGAGCAGGGAGCAUCCAUAUCUUAAAUAUAGGCCUGAGCUUCUCAAAGCUGCACUGCAUUCAUUAAUUUUUGAUGUGGACUUACAUAAGAGACAAAGUGAACGCUGCAGGGUCUGGUUUACAGGCAGGGAUUCCGCCUGCAGAGGGGUUUCCACAUUUCACUAAAUCUUAAAACCACGUCCACACGAGUGUAAUGGGCGGUGUUUUUGGAUGCAACAGGCGUGGAUGAUACUGACUGCUACAUGAGCAUGAAUCUCCACAGGUCGUGAGGUGGAUGGUGUCAUGACAGUGACAGUAUAAACAUGUCCACCUUUGGAGAUGUUGCUAUACUUUUUUUUUUUUUUUUUUUUUUAACAAUAGACUGAUCCCUUUAUAUGUCUCCUUGUAAUAGCAAAACAGCAAUAUGUAAAUUACUGUAUUUUUUAAUUUAUGUGCAGUAAGGUACUUAAAUUUGAUACAAGGAUUUCCUGUAUCAAAAAUAAGAAAAAUGACAACGAUAAUAUCCCAGAGUUGAUGUCUUCAGACGUUUUAGUAAAGCUUACAUUUGAUGAGUGCAGAAGAAAGCAGUAAAUUGUCAGCACCCAGAGACAGCCUUGUGUUUUGCUCUUUAAUUUUUUUGGAAGCAACCAAUUGUCAUUAUAUAAAACAUACAUACGUAUAUGUGAUAAUGGAUUUUACCCAUAAAAAAAGCCUUUCUUUUGAAGAACAGAUCAUCACAAACUUCGUACCAGCGUCAGUGGUAAAAAGUUUAAAUUAAAUUUUACAAUAAAAGCAAGUCUAAACACUAGAAAAUGUCAGACAAGAAAAUAAAAGCUCCAAGAUAAAAACAACCUGAAAGCAAUAAAAGAGUGAGUUUGUUCAAAUAAUUUCCAUACACAGUCAAAAGAUAUGAGAUAUAUAUUUGUAUUAUUUUAAUACUUGAAAGGAAGCUGAAAGGAAACGGAGCUCCGAUAAGAAAAUGUAAUAAGAAAGGAAAUAAAUUUUUAAAAAGUAUUUUCAGCACAAAUAGCAACUUUAACAUAGGGAAGAAUGAACUCCCAGCGGUUCAAAGUUCGGCAGUAAGGGAGGAAGCGGUUUUGCCUCGGGGUGACUCAGAUCACAUCGAUCUGUAAAUCAAGUCCCAGAUGGUUCAGACUCCAUCUGGGGUCUGAAGGUCUGACUCAGUGAGAUCACAACAACACACUUGUUUGCAGUCUCAUUGUCAGUGUAGCAGGUCAGCCUGAGAUGUCAACACUUGCAACGAAAAAGGCAUAUGGAUAAAAACCAGCGCGAAUGUCUCGAUGUACAUCUGCGUCACGCCUCUUGUUUUAAUGCCCACAGCAGCCAAGGAACAGCUUGCAUUUAAGCAGGGGCGUGAAGUAAGAGCCGCAAUGGUUUUUCGCUUUUACUGGAAAAAUGGCUGCUAAGCCAAUGCCUACAGACUGAAAACAGAAUCAGAUGAGACUGCAAUAAACAGACGCUUCAUAUGCAGUGCUGCAAUUUAAUAAGUAAAAACAGUGCGUGUAGAAUCUUAGGGCGAGGGCUUUUGAUAGAGUCGCCAUUUUGAAAGCAGAGCUGAAUACACACAGUGAGACAGCAUGUAUCACACAACAACAUGUAUGGCAGUUUUACUUGGUACUUAAACAACUACACAGACGCAGAAUGAAGCACCAGCUCCUCUUUUCCGUCCACUUGGUGGAGAAGUGCUGAUUUACAGCAAUCUACCAAGCGUCUCCCCUCGCUCUGUUAAAAACAAUUUAAUAUUUCACAACAAAGAUACCAGCUAUGUGCUGCUGUUAAAUAGUCAAGUCUUCUUAAGAACUGUUCUGGAAGCAGCAAUUACACUCUACUGCAGACACGGACGAGUAGGCAUUGCUGUUAUACUUCUUAGAAGUCUGACUAGUUGCUACAUUGUAAUGUGAAGUCUCCGCUUCUGAGUUGCCAUCUGACUGGACAUUUAUGCUUCAGUGGGGAAUCUAUGGGGAGUCUCCCUAAGCUGUAACCACAAACUGUGGCAUCGACACAGCUCACAACUCACAACCUGUAUAUUUCCAGCUACUCUUACACUGCAGUUUUUCACUUUAAGAAUACCCUUCAUCAAUUUAAAUAUAAGGAGUAAUAAAAAAAAAAAAAAAAAAAAUCUAAAUUCAUGGAGGGGGAUUGCUGAAACUAUCAAAAUGGAUGCAAGGGAAUAUACCAGCAUUGCAGCAUUUUAUUUGUUUCUAUCAGCUGGUACCCCACAUAAAACACAGGGACACAACCACACGGUAAUUAACACAUAACGCACCUCGCGCGAGAAAUGUUGACAGCAAAUCGGUUACAUUGUAGGCUCUACAAGUAAAUCACUGCAGAAGUUUAAAUCAGGCCUGAUUAUAAAAUUUAUAUCCCUCUGACUCAACCAGAGCCAAGCAGACUCACAGACAUAGAAUCUAUAGCAUGCUUUUAACUGACUGACACAACCGGAAAGUGUCUGCGUGGCAGCCAUAAAAAAAGCUGGUUAAAGUCUUUGAAUACCGAUACUGCUUCUUUAUUACCACUUUUAGCAAAGAAUAUGCCUGCGAACAAUCAGUAAACAGAGUUGUCAAUGUUAUGUUGAUGGUGUUGUUCAAUAAAUAUUAGUGUGUUUUUGUAUAAGCUAGAAUGUGUUUUGAAUCUUCAGUGACCAGCUAUGUUAAACCCACCUGUAAAUCCUGUAUAUUCUGAAGCUAAAUACUUUGUGCAUUGUGGUUCCCAUUUCCCAAGUCCUUAAAUUCUCUCUCACCAUUGACCUUGAUGCCGUUUUCUAUCAAGGUCAAGGAAAAGUGAUUAGACAGACAAAGACACGGGGUUACUUUUUGGACUUUUCGACCACAGCCUUGGUUAAUUCUUCUCAGGCUAAAGGAGCUAGAACCUCAUGCAGGCCGUUCAAAUGAUAGACACACUGAGUCAGCAUCCGUCGUCUCUCGUGGUCAUCAGGACGACGGCAGCAGCUUGAGACAGAUACAGAACACUCGACUGUCUGCAGGUCCCAAUUCCCAGGAGAAGAGUGGGAGUUUGGUGUUAUGUGGAUCGAGUGAUGGUCAGCCUAACGGUACAAUCUUCAGGUACAAAAAGUGAAGACAGAUCAUUUUAUUUUCUUGGCCAGUCCUGCAGGGUUGUGGGGAAGGCUAGAGUCCAUCACAAGAAGGGCAAGACGAUGGGUAUUUCCUGGACCCUGCCUCCAGGCUGACACAGAGACAGACAACUAUUCAUGCUACCAUUCAUUUAACACGUACAAACAAUUUAGAAUCACCAGUUAAAUUACAUGCAUGGGUUUAGGUUAACUGUGGGUUAGCUUAGCUUUUUGACCAUGUUUGCUGGGUUUCCAACAGGGAUGUCCAGAUGAUGUUGAUAAGAUAACAGACAAGAGAUGCCAAAAUUUUGUCUUCAGCUUUCAUUCUGGAACCACAUAUCAACCAAGACUAACAGUCAAGGCGAGACAGCCAACCGGUGGUUUCUGAAUCUGAAAAUACUUGCUGGAAAGUGAUCUUCAGAGGAAAAAGGAACAAAUAACAAACACUCUCACUGUAUAGCUUCGUUUGGGGGGGUGUUCUUACUCUUCUCUCAAACAACAAUGUUUUGUUUGUUUCAUUUUGUCCUAGUCCAGAACAAAAUGAAUAUACAAUUGUUUACCACAAACUUUCCUGUCAUAGAAAGUCUAACAAGGAUGUUAAGGCAUCACUGAAGUGGUACAUUUGACAGACACAAUCUUAUGCCUCUGUUGUCGGCUCAACUUUUAUUCUGGAGCUAUUUUUAACCAAGACCAAAUAUCAAGAAAAGACGAUCAGCUCAUUUGUUAUUUAACAUUAAAGUGUUUAUUAGAGCAUGAUCUCAAAGAAAAAUCCCAGGAGUCUGAGUCGCUCUCACAGUAUAGUUGUUUGUUGUUGUUAUUACUCUUGUUCUAAUCGUUUAAAGUAUAACAUAAAACAGUGGUUUAACAUAAACUUUACUUUGCUGUAAAGUCUAUCAAAGACACCCAGAGGAGAAAAAGUAUGCCUAGCAGACAGUAAACAUUUGUCUCCAACAUUUGCACAACCUUUAUUUUGGAGCCAUGCUUGAUCCAAAGCUAGAUGUUGACUAGAAAAGACAGCCAGUAGACAGUUUGGCAGUGCCAAAAGGUCAAGAGUUUGAGUCCAAGUCCAAGCAGAAUAUCCAGGUGAUAAGGAGGUACGUCCAACAGACGACCUUUGCUUAACUGUCAUUUUCAAAACCUUGUUUAAACAAAAGCGAGACCUUAGAAAAGUGGCUCAAUGCAUUUGCCUGACAAGAAAAUGAUCCCUUGUCUAACCCUAGGGGGGAGACACAAAACCUUUCAAGGUUGCCAGGAAGAGCAUCUGGUGUCAAAAUAUGCCAAACCAAAUAGGCAGAGCUACUUGCUGUGCUUGUGAACGGAGGACUAGUUAAAAUCUUUAACCAGACUUGAUGAAAGACAAUGGUUAUUCAAAUUUGAAAUGUUUGCUUGGUGUUAUCAUAAUGCUUGGAAGCCACAUAAUCAUAUUUCAUUCCAAACUGUACAGACUUGGGUGGAAUACAAAAAACUAGCCAUUUUCCCUUCUGAAUCCAGCAAACAGCAAAGUCAUUGCUGUCAUACCUAUAAUUCAACUCAUUUCAACAAAGAGUCUUCAAAGUUUCCCUUUCUACUAAUUUCACUUUGCAAAAAGCCUCUAUGUUCGGUUAAUUUGCAGCAGCAGAAAUCAGAAGGAGCAAUGCCCUCGUUUGGAGGUCACAAGCUGAGGAGGAGUCACCACAUGAGCCAAGAUGCGGGAUCCCCCCUCCUUUCUAACGCAAUAAGGAAGGACACACCCAGCUACAGAGGGGAGGAGGAGGAGAAGGUGGAGAUGGAUGAAAUGAGAAGAGAGGAAAAAGAAGCAGAACUGCUGCUGCUCCUCCUCAUCCGCCCAUCUUAGCCGAUGACGUAAGGACGGUGCUUCGUUAAUUAAAAUAAAGCGCAGUAACGAUUUUUCCACCCUUGUUCAAUACCGGCAGCCUUGAAAAAGAAGAAGUAGUAUUUACAGUGCGAGUGCUAAAUAUGGGGGAACCACUCCAACAAGCUUAACAAGCUCAUCCUGAAGGCGCCACAUUCGUGUCAACAGUGUGAGGACACCACAGUGAUACAGAAAUACACACAAUUAAUAUCACAACAGGGACAAACAACCGCAGCAACCAACGCUCGCUGCUCAGAGAGCUGUUUUUAACCA